rnacentral:rRNA from 1 species
UAAGGAAUAUUGGUCAAUGGACGCAAGUCUGAACCAGCCAUGCCGCGUGAAGGAUGAAGGUCCUCUGGAUUGUAAACUUCUUUUAUCUGGGACGAAAACGGGAUUUUUAUCUCAAUUGACGGUACCAGAGGAAUAAGCACCGGCUAACUCCGUGCCAGCAGCCGCGGUAAUACGGAGUGUGCGAGCGUUAUCCGGAUUUACUGGGUUUAAAGGGUGCGUAGGUGGGCUUAUAAGUCAGUGGUGAAAUCUCCGAGCUUAACUUGGAAACUGCCGUUGAUACUAUAGGUCUUGAAUUAUCUGGAGGUAAGCGGAAUAUGUCAUGUAGCGGUGAAAUGCUUAGAUAUGACAUAGAACACCAAUUGCGAAGGCAGCUUACUACAUAUAAAUUGACGCUGAGGCACGAAAGCGUGGGGAUCAAACA